rnacentral:rRNA from 1 species
UACGCGAGGCAGCAAUGCGGAAUAUUGCACAAUGGGGGAAACCAUGAUGCAGCGACGCCGCUAGAGUUAUGAAGUAUUUCGGUAUGUAAAGCUCCUCAGCAUGGAACAAAUGACG